rnacentral:rRNA from 1 species
UGAGCAAUCUGCCCUUCUCAUCGGAAUAAGCGUUGGAAACGACGUCUAAUGCCGAAUACGACCUCCUUUCGCAUGAUCGGAGGUGGAAAGCUCCGGCGGAGAAGGAUGAGCUCGCGGCCUAUCAGCUAGUUGGUGUGGGUAACGGCCCACCAAGGCGACGAUGGGUAGCCGGCCUGAGAGGGUGACCGGCCACACGUGGGACUGAGACACGGCCCAGACCUCCGUACGGGGAGCAG